rnacentral:tRNA from 1 species
GGGUCUAUAACUUAAUGGUAAAGUAGGUGGCUUUUAACCAUCUAACCAGAGUUCGAUUCUCUGUGGACCCA